AGGGUGUUAGUCCAAAACAAGACCUCUGAUUUCGGCUCAGAAAACCGUGGUUCGACUCCACGACUCCCUU
rnacentral:tRNA from 1 species